CCACAGCUACAACCGCUCGGUUCAAGCUAUAAGACCCCUUUAUGGGGCGCUUCGUUUCGGCGAGUCUAAGCAAAACU
rfam:Lactobacillus brevis subsp. gravesensis ATCC 27305 genomic scaffold SCAFFOLD5, whole genome shotgun sequence.